GGUUCAUCAACCGGUUAGCCCUCUCUUCAGUCUCCAUAUCCAGGCAGAUAAGCCCACAGAACCCAUACUCAGCAUUGUGCAUCGACUUCAGUAAUUGGUGCUGCGGGUGCUCCUCCAGGCCCGGGUAGAUCACCCUCAGGCCCAGGCUUUUCAGCCUCCUUGCGAACAAUAAAGCCCGUUGACUGUGCUCCUUCAUUCUUAGGCCCAGGUGUGGGAUUCUCUCGGAAAGUUCAAAUGCCACCUUUGCAUUCAUUGUGGGGCCCAAGAGCA
rnacentral:lncRNA from 1 species